ACCGAAGUCGAAAAAUCCUUGGAUGUCGUCGCUGAAUUUUUCCAGGUUGAAAUACGCCACCAAUAUUGCGAAGUCACAACCACCCCCCUGUUAUAAUAAACGAAUCCUCUUCCGAACACAAAGCAUUAUAUUACGUUGUAGGCCUACAUUACGCAUUCAGUUGUGAUGGUCUUUGUUUUAUCAAAGGAUUCGAAGAAAGAAAAGUAACUGCUAGCAGCUGGUCAGGCGUUUCAAAAUAAAAUACAGACAUCGACGACAAGAUGAAGCAUCAAACGAUCUCCUUUUAUGUAGCAGUGACCCUGAUUGUACUACUUCUUAUGAUUGCCGUUGACGCCAGAAAA